UUUAAUUGAAACCAAAAAAGAGGUUUGUUACUGUUAAUAACAACAUUGAGAUUCCUAUCUCCAAUUAA
rnacentral:tRNA from 1 species